rnacentral:rRNA from 1 species
AACGAACGCUGGCGGCAUGCCUAACACAUGCAAGUCGAACGAGACCUUCGGGUCCUGUGGCGCCUGGGUUCGUAACCCGUGGGAACCUUCCCUUAGGUUCGGAAUACCUCCCCGAAAGGGGUGACAAUACGGGAUAAUGUCUUCUAACCAAAGAUUUAUUGCGUUUGGAUGGGCACGCGUUGGAUUAGCUAGUUGGUAGGGUAAAAGCAUACUACGGCGCGAAUCCAUAGCUUGUAUCUGAGAAUGGUCAGCCACACUGGGACUAGGAAGCGGCCGGGACUCCUACGGGAGGGAGCAGUGGGGGAUAUUGGAACAUGGGGGGAAGGAUGAACCACCUAGGACGGGUGAGUGAUGAAGGCCGUAGAGUUGUAAAGCUCUUGUAACCAGGAUGAUAAUGACGGUACCGAGAGAAUAAGCUCCGGCUAACUCCGUG